UUUAUGGAGAGUUUGAUCCUGGCUCAGGAUGAACGCUGGCGGCGUGCCUAAUACAUGCAAGUCGAGCGAACGGACGAGAAGCUUGCUUCUCUGAUGUUAGCGGCGGACGGGUGAGUAACACGUGGAUAAACUACCUAUAAGACUGGGAUAACUUCGGGAAACCGGAGCUAAUACCGGAUAAUAUUUUGAACCGCAUGGUUCAAAAGUGAAAGACGGUCUUGCUGUCACUUAUAGAUGGAUCCGCGCUGCAUUAGCUAGUUGGUAAGGUAACGGCUUACCAAGGCAACGAUGCAUAGCCGACCUGAGAGGGUGAUCGGCCACACUGGAACUGAGACACGGUCCAGACUCCUACGGGAGGCAGCAGUAGGGAAUCUUCCGCAAUGGGCGAAAGCCUGACGGAGCAACGCCGCGUGAGUGAUGAAGGUCUUCGGAUCGUAAAACUCUGUUAUUAGGGAAGAACAUAUGUGUAAGUAACUGUGCACAUCUUGACGGUACCUAAUCAGAAAGCCACGGCUAACUACGUGCCAGCAGCCGCGGUAAUACGUAGGUGGCAAGCGUUAUCCGGAAUUAUUGGGCGUAAAGCGCGCGUAGGCGGUUUUUUAAGUCUGAUGUGAAAGCCCACGGCUCAACCGUGGAGGGUCAUUGGAAACUGGAAAACUUGAGUGCAGAAGAGGAAAGUGGAAUUCCAUGUGUAGCGGUGAAAUGCGCAGAGAUAUGGAGGAACACCAGUGGCGAAGGCGACUUUCUGGUCUGUAACUGACGCUGAUGUGCGAAAGCGUGGGGAUCAAACAGGAUUAGAUACCCUGGUAGUCCACGCCGUAAACGAUGAGUGCUAAGUGUUAGGGGGUUUCCGCCCCUUAGUGCUGCAGCUAACGCAUUAAGCACUCCGCCUGGGGAGUACGACCGCAAGGUUGAAACUCAAAGGAAUUGACGGGGACCCGCACAAGCGGUGGAGCAUGUGGUUUAAUUCGAAGCAACGCGAAGAACCUUACCAAAUCUUGACAUCCUU
rnacentral:rRNA from 1 species